rnacentral:rRNA from 1 species
AUGAACGCUAGCUACAGGCUUAACACAUGCAAGUCGAGGGGCAGCAUGGCCUUAGCUUGCUAAGGCCGAUGGCGACCGGCGCACGGGUGAGUAACACGUAUCCAACCUGCCGUCUACUCUUGGACAGCCUUCUGAAAGGAAGAUUAAUACAAGAUGGCAUCAUGAGUCCGCAUGUUCACAUGAUUAAAGGUAUUCCGGUAGACGAUGGGGAUGCGUUCCAUUAGAUAGUAGGCGGGGUAACGGCCCACCUAGUCUUCGAUGGAUAGGGGUUCUGAGAGGAAGGUCCCCCACAUUGGAACUGAGACACGGUCCAAACUCCUACGGGAGGCAGCAGUGAGGAAUAUUGGUCAAUGGGCGAGAGCCUGAACCAGCCAAGUAGCGUGAAGGAUGACUGCCCUAUGGGUUGUAAACUUCUUUUAUAAAGGAAUAAAGUCGGGUAUGCAUACCCGUUUGCAUGUACUUUAUGAAUAAGGAUCGGCUAACUCCGUGCCAGCAGCCGCGGUAAUACGGAGGAUCCGAGCGUUAUCCGGAUUUAUUGGGUUUAAAGGGAGCGUAGAUGGAUGUUUAAGUCAGUUGUGAAAGUUUGCGGCUCAACCGUAAAAUUGCAGUUGAUACUGGAUAUCUUGAGUGCAGUUGAGGCAGGCGGAAUUCGUGGUGUAGCGGUGAAAUGCUUAGAUAUCACGAAGAACUCCGAUUGCGAAGGCAGCCUGCUAAGCUGCAACUGACAUUGAGGCUCGAAAGUGUGGGUAUCAAACAGGAUUAGAUACCCUGGUAGUCCACACGGUAAACGAUGAAUACUCGCUGUUUGCGAUAUACAGCAAGCGGCCAAGCGAAAGCGUUAAGUAUUCCACCUGGGGAGUACGCCGGCAACGGUGAAACUCAAAGGAAUUGACGGGGGCCCGCACAAGCGGAGGAACAUGUGGUUUAAUUCGAUGAUACGCGAGGAACCUUACCCGGGCUUAAAUUGCAGAUGAAUUACGGUGAAAGCCGUAAGCCGCAAGGCAUCUGUGAAGGUGCUGCAUGGUUGUCGUCAGCUCGUGCCGUGAGGUGUCGGCUUAAGUGCCAUAACGAGCGCAACCCUUGUUGUCAGUUACUAACAGGUCAUGCUGAGGACUCUGACAAGACUGCCAUCGUAAGAUGUGAGGAAGGUGGGGAUGACGUCAAAUCAGCACGGCCCUUACGUCCGGGGCUACACACGUGUUACAAUGGGGGGUACAGAGGGUCGCUACCACGCGAGUGGAUGCCAAUCCCCAAAACCUCUCUCAGUUCGGACUGGAGUCUGCAACCCGACUCCACGAAGCUGGAUUCGCUAGUAAUCGCGCAUCAGCCACGGCGCGGUGAAUACGUUCCCGGGCCUUGUACACACCGCCCGUCAAGCCAUGGGAGCCGGGGGUACCUGAAGUGCGUAACCGCGAGGAGCGCCCUAGGGUAAAACUGGUGACUGGGGCU